AUUGAACGCUGGCGGCAUGCCUAACACAUGCAAGUCGAACGUGAAAGAGGGGCAACUCUCGAGUAAAGUGGCGGACGGGUGAGUAAUACGUAGGAAUCUGCCCUAGAGUGGGGGAUAACCUGCCGAAAGGCGGGCUACUACCGCAUGAUCUCGUAGGAGCAAAGGUGCCUUGUACUUGUACAAGGUUUCGCUCUAGGAUGAGCCUACGUCGGAUUAGCUAGUUGGUAGGGUAAUGGCCUACCAAGGCAACAAUCCGUAGCUGGUCUGAGAGGACGAUCAGCCACACUGGAACUGAGACACGGUCCAGACUCCUACGGGAGGCAGCAGUGGGGAAUAUUGGACAAUGGGGAAACCCUGAUCCAGCAAUGCCGCGUGUGCGAUGAAGGCCUGCGGGUUGUAAAGCACUUUCGGUGGGGAAGAAAUGCCCAAAGAUAAUAUCUUUGGGAGCUGACGUUACCCACAGAAGAAGCACCGGCAAACUCUGUGCCAGCCGCCGCGGUAA
rnacentral:rRNA from 1 species